GUGGAGGAUGAGCCGGAACUUGGGAUUGUAUUCACAUUCUUUGUCUCCAAUUUUAAUGAAUCUGGAACAUAAAGGCUCAUGUGAAGGUGUCCUGAUGACAUAGAACAGGAUGAGUACUGAAACCACAAGGCUAAAAUGAAGGGAGGCAUGAGGGAUGUCAAGGCCCAAGCCACUGAAGCCUGGUGGGUGCUGGCCAGACAUUCUCAGUGCCAUUCAAGUCCCUUCACGUGGUAACUUUCCCACAGGUUGAGUGGGCCCGUCAUGUGAAUGUUGGCUACUGAAAAGGUAUAA
rnacentral:lncRNA from 1 species